rnacentral:rRNA from 1 species
UUGAGGGUUUGAUCCUGGCCCAGGAUAAACGCUAGCGGCGUGCUUUAGGUAUGCAAGUGGAUCGGUCCGCAGGACUGAACUAUCAACUAUCUACAAAUUAACAAAUUGACAGAUUAAUAAUAUGAUGGAAUUGUGAAGACUUUUAGAUUUCUGGAGUUUCAAGUAUACAAAGAUAGUAAAUCUUUUUACAAGAAAUGUUCUCUAUUAACCAAAAGCUUUACCAGAAAUUACUGGGAACUUAAAGAUCAAUUAUUAAGGGCAGCAUUAUCUGUUUGUCUUAAUAUAGCUGAAGGAUCCGCAAAAUAUUCUGACAAGGAUUUUAAGAGAUUCAUCGAGAAUUCUUUAGGAUCUGCGAACGAGUGUUUUGCCUGUUUAGAUAUUGCCUAUGAGAAUAAGUUAAUAUCUUAUGAGGAUUUCAUGAAUUUAAGAACUGAAUUAGAAUCUAUUGCGAAACAGUUAGGAGGUUUAGCUAAAAAGCUUCGAGCUUCUUCUUGAAUGUUAAUUUGUUAAAAGUUAAUUGGUUGUAGGUUCUGUCCUGCGGAUAGACGCGAACGGCUGAGUAACACGUAAGAACGUACCCCAUAGCGGUGAAUACCUUAUCGAAAGAUAAGCUAAUACACCAUACGCCACGUUCAGUUACAUGAAUGUGGGAAAGGGAGUAACUUCCCACUUUGGGAACGGCUUGCGGCCUAUCAGCUAGUUGGUAGGGUAAUGGCCUACCAAGGCUUCGACGGGUAGGGGACGUGAGAGCGUGUACCCCCAGAAUAGCACUGAGAAACGGGCUAUACACCUACGGGUGGCGCAACCGGGAAUCGUGCACAAUGGACGAAAGUCUGAUGCCGCGACGCCGCGUGAGGGAUGACGGCCUUCGGGUUGUAAACCUCUUUUGCCAUGACAGAGAUGUCAUGGAGAAUAAGCACCGGCUAACUCUGUGCCAGCAGCAGCGGUAAUACAGAGGGUGCAAGCGUUGUCCGGAUUUAUUGGGCGUAAAGAGUUCGUAGGCGCCCCGUUGCAUCUUGUUUCAAAGACCCUGGCUCAACUAGGGAAAGGGACAAGAGAUGAACGGGGUUGAAAGGUUUCGGAGCUACUGGAACUCACGGUGUAGGAGUGAAAUCCGUUGAUAUCGUGAGGAACACCGAGGGCGAAGGCAGGUAGCUAGGGACACUUUGACGCUGAGGAACGAAAGCCAGGGGAGCGAAAGGGAUUAGAGACCCCUGUAGUCCUGGCCGUAAACGAUGCUCGCUAGGGAUUCGACCUUUGGUCGAGUCUCGCAAGCUAACGCGUUAAGCGAGCCGCCUGGGGAGUACGAGCGCAAGCUUAAAACUCAAAGGAAUUGACGGGGACCCGCACAACCAGUGGAGCAUG